GCCCUAGGGCGCCGUCCUCCUGGCGCCGCCUGGAGGCCGGCCCGAGCCCUGCAGCUAAGGAAGUCUUGGGAGUCCUUUACCAGAAUCCAAAGUACAAGGGAGCCCACUGAUGAAAGUCAUAGCCUCCCAGGACAGAGAAAAAGACAAAGAGGGAGGGGAGUAAUCUAGAAGGAAAGACAGAAGCCAUCCAGCAUACCUAGAGCUGAAGACUCCAUCUGUUCUUCACAAGGGAGUGACCUCGUGACUCUCCGUGCUCAAGUACUACUGGCCAGCAACUUUGUGGAGGUGCCUCCUGAAUUGGUUCUGGAGCAAAACUGACCUUGAGUUUGUUUAAAAAAAAAAAAAAAA